rnacentral:rRNA from 1 species
UUAAAUUGAAGAGUUUGAUCAUGGCUCAGAUUGAACGCUGGCGGCAGGCCUAACACAUGCAAGUCGAACGGUAACAGGAAGAAGCUUGCUUCUUUGCUGACGAGUGGCGGACGGGUGAGUAAUGUCUGGGAA